rnacentral:rRNA from 1 species
UAGGGAAUCUUCCACAAUGGACGCAAGUCUGAUGGAGCAACGCCGCGUGAGUGAAGAAGGUUUUCGGAUCGUAAAGCUCUGUUGUUGGUGAAGAAGGAUAGAGGCAGUAACUGGUCUUUAUUUGACGGUAAUCAACCAGAAAGUCACGGCUAACUACGUGCCAGCAGCCGCGGUAAUACGUAGGUGGCAAGCGUUGUCCGGAUUUAUUGGGCGUAAAGCGAGCGCAGGCGGAAUGAUAAGUCUGAUGUGAAAGCCCACGGCUCAACCGUGGAACUGCAUCGAAAACUGUCAUUCUUGAGUGAAGAAGAGGAGAGUGGAAUUCCAUGGGUAGCGGUGGAAUGCGUAGAAAUAUGGAAGAACACCAGUGGCGAAGGCGUCUCUCUGGUCUGCAACUGACGCUGAGGCUCGAAAGCAUGGGUAGCGAACAGG